rnacentral:lncRNA from 1 species
CAUCGCAGGGGAGAUGCAGGAGUCUGUAUGUGCAGAUUGCAUGCGUGCAUGUUUGGUUUUGGGUUUGUGUCAAAGAGGGAAAAAGUGUGUGUGUGUGUGUGUGUGUGUGUGUGUGUGUGUGUGUGUGUGUGUGUGUGUGUCAGAGAUGGAACAUGAGACUGAGGGUUUGGUUAUUUGAGAGAGAAAGAGAGAGAGAGGGUGUGUGUACGCUUGAGUGAGCUUUUCUGUGUGUGUGUGUGAAUGUGAGCUUUAGAGGGGGUGUGUGCAUGUGUGUCUGUGAGUGCGUGCAUGUGAGCUUGGCUAGAGAGGAUAUUUGUGUGUACUCUGCGUGUGAGUGUGUUCGUGUGCCUGUAAGCCUGAGAGGGAGGGGUGUGUGUGUGUGUGUGUGUGUGUGUGUGGGUGUAUGUGUUCGUGCAUGCAUGUGGGCAAAAGAGGGGGGAGGUGUGUGUGUGUGUGUGUGUGUGUGUGUGUGUGUGUGUGUGUGUGUGUGUGUGUGUGUGUGUGUGUGUGUGUGUGUGCUCACACACAUGUGGGUUUGUUUGUGUAUUUGUGCAUGCAUGUGGGUUGGCGGGAGGGGGGGCUGCAUGUGUGUGUUGGAGUGAGGAAGGAGAGAACUGUGCAGGCAAAGAAGAAUGAGAGAAUCGAUCGAGAGGGUGAGACGCAGAGGGGUCAGCUCACUGAAGGAGUGGAGGAGGCGCGGAUGUGGCAGGAAAAGGAAAGGGACACCUGUGAAAGUCUUUGUUACGAACACAGAGGAAGAGGGUGUGCCUGAGCACAGCUUCGGUCCAGCUGAUCGUAAAGAAUCGGAGAGUAAACGGCCCACACUGGAUGGGCCGUUCCACAACACAGAGCCUGCUCCUCAUCGUAACUGUAGUCCAGGGCAGCAUCACAGCAAAGUCUCCACUGGUUCCAAGACCGGCUCCUGUGCAGCCUCCACACCAGCUCCAGCUGCUGCCCCCGCCUCAGCAACAGUCCCUGCUCCUGCCCCAGCCACAGUGGCUUCAGCACACGCGCCGCCUCUGACGCCCGCGUCCACGGCUCCGGCGGCCCCGGCGCCCUCCGCUCCGGCUCCGACGGCCAGCUCCUUCCCUCCCUCCCCCAACUGUCGCAUCCGGGAGGUCCACUGUGGCAGCCAGGUGCGGCUGGUGGUUAUCGCCAUCCGAGACAUCACCAAGGGGGAGGAGAUCACCGUGGACUACAGCCUGACAGAGUGGGGGGAGAAUCUGAGUUUCCGUGGCACUUUGUCUCCAGCUCAACAUGAGUGCAACUCUGACACGGAGAAUAACAACAGUAUUAAAAGGGAGGAGGAGCCCCUCCCUCUGACAGCCCAGCAGCAGCAGCAUGUCACCCCUUCUUGGUCCCUCUCCCCCUGUUCCUCCCCUAUCUCCCACUCCGAUGCCAGUGACUCAGAUGCUGGAGACGAGGACAACGCCAGCCCCCGCGGGCGAGCGCUACGCCGGCGCAAGAAACGCCGCGGCACUCCCUCGAAGAAGAAGACUCCGCAUCGAACCCCAACCAGACGCCCGCCACCCGUCUCCCCGAACGGGGCUUCCCAUCACCACCGCCCCAUUUCUUUACCCCUCCCUCCAGCACAGUCUUCCCCUCCUUGCUCUUCUUCUACAUCCUCCUCGGCAAAGUCUGCGUUUAAAGCUCCAGCUCCUCUAAGCUCCAACAGCCCAACCAACCAAGUCAACACCAACGCCCCCAGAGGAGCCGUGUCCAUAGACUCCAUGCGGCAAACCUGUGAGUACUGCGGGCGUCACUUCCGCUCUUUGGGUCGCCACUUGGACAAACACCAUGCCCACCAACCAGAAGUGUGUUCUGCUCUUGUUGAGCGCUACACCCAGAUGCCUCACCUGCACGCACACAACACAAACCCUGCUCACGCUCACACGCAUCAGCACCUGAAGUCGUCACAGAGCCGCAGUGUAGAUCAUGUACAGAGUGGUGCCCAGGACCUGCUAAUGUCUCCGCCCAGUCUGACGGCAGCCAACAAAUCCUUUCCCUCCUCUGGAAAAAACUCUAGCCCACCUGUGCUGGCUCCUCUGAGAGAACAGAUCGCAGUACCAGUGUCGGUCUUAAAGAGGAGCCCACCCCCCGUGGCUGUGACACAGUCCAAGAAGGGAGCAGCGAGGAGGCCAAAGAAAGAACGACAGCAGGAGGAAGAAGAUGAUCAGGAUGAAGAUGUGGAGGUGGUGGAGGUAAAGAGGCCCAAAGAGGAGGAUCUAAGUCCUCGAACCUACAGCAGCAAGUCACCCAAAGAGGGAGAGGCAUUAAAAGAGGAGCAGGAUGGGGAAGAGGAAGAGGAGAAUAGAGUGAUGGAGGUGGAAGAUGAUAGUGGGAAUGAAGAGAAGGAAAAGGACUUAUUGAGUUCGGGGCGUCACCACAUGCUGCCCCUUCUUUCGUCGCUGUCCUCUCUGGUGCUCUACCUUCGCCGCCUGCAGCACUCGGCCUUCUUGUCCCUGUCUCGGCAGCUGCAGUCGGCGGAGGCCUGGCGCCUCCUCUGCCACUCCAGUCUGGCUCUCCUCAUCCUGUACAAUCGACGGCGCGAGUGUGAGGUCUCCAAACUGUCCAUUGCUGAAUACCGUGCCCGUGUCACUCCCCAGUGCCCCGUUCCCGUCCCACCUGGCGCCCCGCCUGCUCUCACGCCACUGGAGGCCUCUCUGUCACCUUUUGAGCGGCUGGUGCUUCCUCACCUCGCUCGGGUCGGGGUCCAGGGUAAGCGUGGACGUGUGCAGCCCCUUAUCCUCCCCCCGCACUGCGAGCCCUGCCUGGAGCUCCUCCUGCAGACGAGGCAGGACGUUGGGGUCGACCCCACGAACCCGUACGUUUUUGCCCGGCCGUACCACUCCCCUGCCACGCCCCUGAGAGGCACGGACCUUCUCCGGAGUCUGGCUCGCUCCAGUGGCACCCGCAACCCCCGCGCGCUAACUCAGACCAGGGUGCGCCGCCAGGUGGCAAUCCUAACACAGCUACUGCUACUGGGAGAAGGCGAGGAGCCCAGGCAGCCAGGAGGCAGCGCUGUGGAGCGGCUGGAGCACUUCCUGGAGAGGGAGUACCAUGUGACGCAGAACUGCGCCGGAAUUGGACAGGACCCAGGCCUGAUGGGCCGAGUGGGCCGAGUCGUUCUGUGCGGAGAGAGAGACGGAGUGUUGUUCCGGGGAAUGAGCCUGAACCACAUCUGCUUGGAACUGGAUGUCAUGUCGGGGAACUCUGCGGAUUCGUACUCAGAGGGAGAGUCUGACGCGGAGCAGGUGAAGGUGAAGACUGAGGCGCCUCCUCCUGCCCCCGCUCCGGCCCCCGCCCCCGCCCCUGCCCCCGCGCCAACUCCUACACCUACCCUGCUGUAUGUCAGGAAGGGCAAGAACAACGGGCGCGUGGGACGACCCAAGAAGCUCAAGAACGCCCAGCCGCCCGCCCCACCCCCACCGCUGCCUUCUCCACCUCUAGCUGCAAACCACAGGAGGGGCUCAGGAAAGCGAGGCGUCCUGAAGCGGCCCUGGUCCGAGGCGGAGCGCGCCGCGGUGGAGGAGCACCUGACGCAGAACAUCACAGAGCUCCGGGUCCCCGCCAAAGCCGACUGCGAGCGCUGCCUGCAGCAGUGCCCGCUGCUGGUCAACAACCAGCGCGACUGGCGCGCCAUCAAGUUCUACUGUCACAACCGCAUUCAGCUGCUGAAGAAAACCCAGCGGCGCGAGAGCCAGCCCCAGACCCUCAUCGUGUGCUGAGAGGCUGGGGAGGCGGUGCGAGUAGACCCUCAAAUGGUACCUACUGCUUGGGACGUGCACUCAUCUUAAGGCGGUGGUCCUACAUUUCAGUUCUCUGCUUGAUUAAAUGGCCCGCAAUCAGGCGUGUUACUGCGUUUUUAUUUGGAUUGAGCACAAGAAGAGAACUUUCCCAAACUAUUUGUGCUGCUUUAAGGUCUUAAAAAUGACACUCAAGUCUUUAUGGUGCUUAUGCUCCUGGUCCCUCAGUGACAGUGCACUUGGUUAGGUGCCAUUUGAGACAUGCUUUCAGAUACCACAGGACUGACCGCAGCCCAUGCUGCUGCAAAGGGACAUUUAUUUUCUCUUUCCUGAAAAGACACACUAAGCUCAGACUCAAACGGCAGAGGCAGCCGAGUCCUACAGUGUUGUACUAUGAACGUCGUACAGUAGCAUUAGCAUUUUAUGCUCGAAGACGUUAAUGGGACAAAUGGCCUGUGUCCGGGCCACACUUUUCCCACUAGUGGCUUUAUAUUAGAGUAGUACUGCUAACCUAGGAGAAUAUCGACGCCUCUCUUCAAACAUGCUAGUUCUUCUGGUCAUAUAACUGACUGUGCAAUUGCGACUUUGGCUUCAUUAUAUUUGCACCUUAAUUUACAUGUAGGUACUAGCUAAUGAACGAGUUACGCUUUUGAAGUUACUAUGAAGUUUGUGUCUUUUCUUUGGAAUGGAACACGAUAACGUUUCUAGUUGUGGGUUUCAUGGCAGAGACAAUGAAAUGGCCUCAGAAUGUUGUGAAUUUUAAAGAUAUUCGGUCAAACCGUAAGGUCUUGAAAGAGACUUUGUUGGGCCUUUUUUUCCCUACACUCAGAUGUCAACCACUACCAGUUCUCUCUUAGCUGUCUGUUCGCGUUUCCCGCUGUCUGUUGUUGUUUUUUUCUGCCUGUUGCACAUUUCUUAUUCAGAGCAGUAAAAAGGUGCUAUAGGCCAAUAAACUGGAUAUCACUGUAGAGGGGGAUUUCCUA